GCCGCGCUGCUGCCCCUGGAGCCCGGGGAGACGCCGGGGACGUGGUUCCCGCGUGUGGGGCCCUCGGGGUGGGCGCCGGGUCGCUGUCCCCGCCCCGGCCUCUGGUCCUCCGACGCCCUGCGCCCCCUGCGGCACUGGCGGGCUCGGGGAGCGGCGCGGCUGGCGGAGCUGGGCAGGUGGAGGCGCCCCGCGGAGUUGGGUCUGCUCACCCGGAGCCGGCGUUGCAGGAGGUUCCGAGGCUGACCGCGCAGGCCGCGGCGCCCGCGGCUCCCGGACCCUGUCGAAUGUCGCCGCGCCUGCCCGCAGGUCCCCAGAGAAGUGCCAGGCACCGUGUUGAACGAAACGAAUUCUGGCUCAUCCUGCGACGACUGUGCUCUCAUCCCCUUUACGAUGGAGUCAUUGGGCGAAGCUGGGCCAUGCUGUUUGCCGGUGGAGGCUUCCAGGUGAAACUCUAUGACAUUGAGCAACAGCAGAUAAGGAACGCCCUGGAAAGCAUCAGAAAGGAGAUGAAGUUGCUGGAGCAGGCAGGUGCUCUGAAAGGCUCCCUGAGUGCAGAAGAGCAGCUCUCCCUCAUCAGUGGUUGCCCCAAUAUCCAAGAAGCAGUAGAGGGCGCCAUGCACAUUCAGGAGUGUGUUCCGGAAGACCUAGAACUGAAGAAGAAGAUUUUUGCUCAGUUAGAUUCCAUCGUUGAUGAUCGAGUGAUCUUAAGCAGUUCCACUUCUUGUCUCAUGCCUUCCAAGCUGUUUGCUGGCUUGGUCCAUGUAAAGCAAUGCAUCGUGGCUCAUCCUGUGAAUCCGCCGUACUACAUCCCGCUGGUUGAGCUGGUCCCCCACCCGGAGACGGCCCCUACGACGGUGGACAGAACCCACGCCCUGAUGAAGAAGAUUGGACAGUGCCCCAUGCGAGUCCAGAAGGAGGUGGCCGGCUUCGUUCUGAACCGCCUGCAGUAUGCAAUCAUCAGCGAGGCCUGGCGGCUGGUGGAGGAAGGAAUCGUGUCUCCUAGCGACCUGGACCUUGUCAUGUCAGAAGGACUGGGCAUGCGGUAUGCGUUCAUUGGACCCCUGGAAACCAUGCAUCUCAAUGCAGAAGGUAUGUUAAGCUACUGCGACAGAUACAGCGAAGGCAUGAAACAUGUCCUAAAGACUUUUGGACCCAUUCCAGAGUUUUCCAGGGCCACCGCUGAGAAGGUUAACCAGGAGCCUGCUCCUCCCCGAGGCCCAGCCCCAGCAACACCUGCUGAGCAACGAGAUUCCAUGAACACUACACGCGGACCUGAGUUGGAACCUGGCCUCUCUUGACACGGUGAUCAAUUUGACGUUAAAAUUUGGCCCAAGAAACUGACAAUCAAAGGUGAUAAGCCACAGUCUAGCUUCGGUUAGAUCCGCUUUUUUUUUUUUUUUUUUUUUUUUUAAAGUCAUGACUCGGUGUUGCCUCGUUGCGCAACAAUUUUCUAAAUCGCUAAAUUGACCUUCAUUGUAUGAUCAGAUAGUGACAUGAAAAACAUUGAUCUUAGUCACAGGUUACAGCUGCAUCUUGGAACCAUCCUAACACCAGCUGCAGGAAGCAAAACUUAUUAUGUGACAGGAGUGUAGGCCAAUCUUCCCCCAGAGGCACGAUGCAUCAUGGGUGGAGCCCAGACCCCUGGUGUUCUAGGCCUUCCCCGUGGACCCUGAGGGCAUUCACGCUCCCAUUUCUCCUGACUGCCUCCUGCUAUUCAGGGACCAGGCAGAGACGACAGAUGGAAAGCAGACAGUGCCUGGAGAUCAGCAGCCCUAGGCCCUGACUUUCCCAAACCCUCAGCGUUGUAAAGGUAAGGCCACCACCAGGGUCAAGCCUCCUUCCGUCAGGAAAAGAAAAACAGAAGGAAUUGUGUUCUCUGGAGGGCAGGGCUCUGAGUACAGAGUCUCAUGUUUUCAAAGUCGGAAAGUGUCCACAGUUAAUAUUUGGAUGGGCCCACAGUGCCCGUCUUGCUCGCUGGAGCCCAGGCCUGUCCCAUCACAGACAAAGGGCUCUUGCUGUGCACCUGUGGAGAGGGGAGCUUGGCUGGGAGAAGGCACGGUCAGCGUCUUUGUGUCUUUUUGUUUGAAGUAGAGUUUUGCAAAGGGAGUGGUUCUGGAAGAAAAGCAGAGCGUGGAGUGUCAGAGGCUGGUGUGUUGUGAAAUGCGUAAGCCCUGGAGACCCUCUGUAACUGGCCUUCACGUACGCCUGCCGCCAACGACAACACGGAACCUCGGAAGCUGGGUGUUUGCCAGCUCACGAGACGGGGAGACAUGAAGCUUCCACCAGCACAGGAGGUGGAGGGGAAACAGAAAGAAAGAACUGAGUCUAGCAGCCUCCUUGCACAUUUCUUCCAACGCCUCCAGCCCAGCACAACAAACAACCUCGGGGGCAUCAGGCCUGUGCCGCGUCCUGGCACACCCAACUCUGCCCUGCUCCAAGAGCCCACAGAGGGCCUCGGGGUCACACUCAAGGAGCGUGCUUGGAAUCCAAAGUGCAUGCUAUGCUGUGGUGGGGAUAUGGACAAGGACAGAAAGAGCACCCAGCAAGGGAGGAUGAACAGGCUGCCGUAAUGAAACACAGGACGCACGACAGAUCACAAUAUGAAAUUCAGAAACAAAUUUAGGUACGUAUCAUAAUUUAGUUAUUAUAACGACAUUUAAACACCAAAUACAUGGUGGCAAAAUAGUUCACUAAUCAUUUGGAACACAGCCCGGGCGGACGCCUCUGCUGCGUCCCCACCGUCAGGCGACAGAACACGCAGGGAGUCACCGGGGCUGCCCCACUAGUUCUCCCACUGAUCCUGAAGCUGGCUGAGAGCAGAGACCAGCUAGUGUUCAACUCCCUGUCCCCAUCGUUCCAUAUGCCCUUCCACAGAGGAUGCGCUAAAUUCUCGCCGAAGGAAUAAAUGACAUUUUAACCUCUUCAUGGCAUCGUUUGGGCCCGGGAGGCACACAGCUCUUAGCUGCCCUUUAUGGCAGGUCACAAGUAAUGCACGUCUGAGCUGAGAAGUCGACGUCCCACUUCUCCUUCGUUUUCUUGGCCAUCCCUGAAGCCCUGCUAGGUCUAUGCUAGAAUCCUAAUGAAACUUUUGCUUUUGCUCACCCAAUAAGCACAAAUAAUAAUAAUGUAAAUAUUUACAACCUAUAAAGUGUCCACAUUUUCCUGGACCUUAUGGAUAUAUUAUAGAAGCAUAUGUAUAAUAUAGUCUUAGUGGAGAUUUUGAAUAGAAGAGGUAGAGAAAAUAAGAAUUUGCCUAGUAAUUUACAUCGUUAUUUUUUUCUUAUGUGACCAGUGAGCAAACUAAGCCUGAUUGAUAAAGAUGAGAUGAGGUGACAGAUCUCAUGGUUGUAAAUGAAAACACUGUGAUUCAAACUCAAGUGACUGAAGUAAGUUUCUUUUUCAGCUGAAGCACUGCUGCUAGAAAAAAUCAGCCAUUACUGAUCCACGUCUUAGUCUGUUUGGGCUGCUAUAACGAGAAUGCCUUAGACUGGGUAAUUUCUAAGGAAGAGAAAUUUAUUUCCCACAGUUCUGGAGGCUGGGAAGUCUAACAUCAAGGUGCUCGCAGGUUGGUGUUUAGUGAGGGCUGCUCUCUCCUUCCAGUACGGCACCUACUUUCUCACUGUGUCCUCGCAUGGCAGAAGAAAUGGAAGAGUAAACUCACUUCCUCAAGCCCUUUUGAAAGGGAGUUAAACUCAUCUGUGGGGCAGAGCCCUAUGACCUAAUUACCUUCCAGAAGCUUCACCUCUUCAUACCAUAACUUUUGGGUUUACGAAAUUUGAAUUUGAAAUACGAAUUUUGGAGGGAUACCAACUUCCAGGCUGUAAUGACCCAUGUCAACAAAGGAGUGACAGUGUAUUUGAAAUAAUGUAAUUAUUACUUUCGGCAGCCAUUAGCCCCAAUACUUACUACAAAUGCGAUUAGAAGUUUGAAACCUCUGGCAUUUGGUCUUGCUUUAUGUAAGUUUUCUACAUGACAAUAUUUGAGAAAAAUAAGAUACCUUCUGUCUCUCAUAAAACACAUUUUAUAUGAGUUUAAGAAAUCAACCACACAUAGCUGAGAAAAGACUAACAUUACUAAAAUGUUUAAAUGAUUUGUUUUUUUGUAAUUACGUAAGUAAUAUAUCUUCAGUUUAGAAAAUAUUAAAAAGAUAAAGAUAAGAAAAGAUAACAAUAAGUCUCACAUAAUCCUGCCACCAGUGAUAAUUGCAGGCAACAUUCUGGUACAUGUGGAACGAAUAUAUGUUGAAUGAAAAAAUGAGUUUUCUUCCGGUCUUUGUUCUAAGUGUGUAUGUGUAUGCUGUUUACACACUGAACUCAUAUCAUGUUAAGUUCUCAGGCUUUUCUUUUUCUGUGUAACAUCUCUCAAGCAUAGCAAUGUGAAUUGCAGCCUACAGCUUAGGAAAGUGAGAAAUAUAACUUUCCUUUUCUUAUCACACUUAUUUCUAUUUUAGCCCUCAUCUGACAGGGCAGCAGCAGACUCAUCUCAUGAGUGAAAACAUUCUCUUCCUGAAAUUUGUCUAUUGCUGAGGGUAGUCGAGGCAGCAAGGCCACUGAGGCCCUAGAGCUCCCUCCUCCGGGGUCCAGCAUCUGUCUGGUGUCACUGUGGGUCCCCUUCUCCCUGGAGUUGCAGGCAAAGACCAGGGCACUGGGGUGCUUGGUCCUUUCAGACUUCUCAGGAUUCAGGGCAGAGGGCCCUGCUGACGGGACCCGCUGAUGUACCCUAGAAAACAAUGCUACCGCAGUGAGCUUUCUGUGAAAUCUGUCAGAAGUUCCAUUAUUUCCUGUGGUAGAUUCAGAAAAUGGAAUUACCAAGUCAAAGGGUUAAGGCUCUUGAUACACAUAUCAAGUUGCUCUCCGGAGAACGCCAACCUAAAGCUGUGACUGCAGCUGCCUACAGAAGCCUAGCAGGCAUGAUCAUUCAUGGCGGCCUUUCUUCAGCUCCUCCAAGACAUUCCACGAAGACGUGAUUUUUGUCUGUUCACCUACAGAGUUCCAUUUCCUUCAGUGAGAAGGUCAACUGUUAUUGAGAACUCAUUAAAUGCAAAGCAUGUAUCAUUGGAAAAACUCCAAGCCUCAGUUUUUCAUCUUCAAAAGAGGUAUUAGGUUGAUGCACUUACUUACUUGAGGCUUUUGCCAUUACUUUUGAUGGCAAAAACUGCAAUUACUUUUGCACCAGAAUUACUUUUGUGACUGCCCCGCCUGCCCACAUCACGCUCACAGGAGCGUUCAGGACAGGGCAUGUUCUAACUGAUGAGAUGAACCUGCUGUUGCCCUGUUGGAUGAGGGCUAAAGUAAAACAGAUCCGGA